GAUGAAGAACGCAGCGAAAUGCGAUAAGUAAUGUGAAUUGCAGAAUUCAGUGAAUCAUCGAAUCUUUGAACGCACAUUGCGCCCGCCAGUAUUCUGGCGAGCAUGCCUGUUCGAGCGUCAUUUCAACCAUCAAGCCCCAGGCUUGUGUUGGAGCCCUGCGGCUGCCGUAGCCUCCCAAAACCAGUGGCGGGCUCGCUAUCACACCGAGUGCAGUAGUUUACUCUUCGCUCAGGGCGUGUGGCGGGUGCUAGCCGUGAAACCCCCAACUUCUCAAGGUUGACCUCGGAUCAGGUAGGAAUACCCGCUGAACUUAAGCAUAUCAAUAAGCGGAGGA
rnacentral:misc_RNA from 1 species